GACGAACGCUGGCGGCGUGCCUAAUACAUGCAAGUUGAGCGAUGAAGAUUGGUGCUUGCACCAAUUUGAAGAGCAGCGAACGGGUGAGUAACGCGUGGGGAAUCUGCCUUUGAGCGGGGGACAACAUUUGGAAACGAAUGCUAAUACCGCAUAACAACUUUAAACAUAAGUUUUAAGUUUGAAAGAUGCAAUUGCAUCACUCAAAGAUGAUCCCGCGUUGUAUUAGCUAGUUGGUGAGGUAAAGGCUCACCAAGGCGAUGAUACAUAGCCGACCUGAGAGGGUGAUCGGCCACAUUGGGGCUGAGACACGGCCCAAACUCCUACGGGAGGCAGCAGUAGGGAAUCUUCGGCAAUGGACGAAAGUCUGACCGAGCAACGCCGCGUGAGUGAAGAAGGGUUUCGGAUCGUAAAACUCUGUUGGUAGAGAAGAACGUUGGUGAGAGUGGAAAGCUCAUCAAGUGACGGUAACUACCCAGAAAGGGACGGCUAACUACGUG
rnacentral:rRNA from 1 species